GGAGAGGAGGAGGAGGAGGAGAAUGAAGCUGAGCCCGGGGGCCAGCUGCCUGCUGCCGCCAACGCCGCCGCCGCUGCUGGUGCUCUUGCUGCUACUGCUACUGGGUCUCUGGAGCCAGGACGCUGGAGCUGCGGCAUGCCAUGGGUGUUCAUCAGGAUCCAAAUGUGACUGUAGUGGAACAAAAGGCGGAAAGGGUGAGAGAGGCUUCCCAGGUUUAGAAGGGCAACCAGGCUUACCUGGAUUUCCUGGACCAGAAGGACCAGCUGGGUCACGAGGCGAAAAAGGGGAUGAUGGAUUUCCAGGGCCUCCUGGACCCAAAGGAAUUAGAGGGCCUCCAGGUCUACCAGGCUUUCCAGGAACACCAGGACUUCCUGGGCUACCAGGUCAGGAUGGGGCUCCAGGACCUCCAGGUAUCCCAGGAUGCAAUGGAACAAAGGGAGAACGUGGCUACCCUGGCAGUUCAGGUUUCCCAGGUUUACAAGGCCCCCCUGGUCCCCCUGGCCUAAUAGGGAUGAAGGGGGAGCCAGGCGAGAUACUGACAUCUUUGCAGCCAGGACAAAAGGGUGAACCAGGAUUUCCAGGUCUACCAGGACUACCAGGCCCCGCAGGUCCCAUUGGAGCACAGGGCCCUAUUGGUCCUCCUGGGCCCCCAGGUUUGCUGGGUCCUCCCGGCCCCCCAGGACUACCAGGUCCUAAGGGCAACAUGGGCUUGAACUUCCAAGGGCCAAAAGGAGAAAAGGGUGAGCAGGGACUCCAAGGCCCCCCAGGACCCCCAGGACAGCUUGGCGAACAGAAAAGAACAAAUGAUGUAGAGUUUCAGAAAGGUGAUCAGGGCGUUCCAGGUGACCGAGGCCCCAUAGGUCCCCCUGGGCUACCAGGUCCUCCUGGUCUUCCCGGUGGCGGAAAAGGUGAAAAAGGUGAGCAAGGAGAACCAGGCAAAAGGGGAAAACCUGGCAAGGACGGAGAAUCUGGUCAGCCUGGCUUGCCUGGUUUGCCUGGAGGCCGUGGUAUACCUGGUUUUCCAGGAAGAGAUGGAGAGAAAGGCAGUAAAGGUGACGCUGGUCCUCCUGGUCCUCCUGGACAUGCAAUUCUAAGGCCAGAUACUGGAGCAACGGUGGGACCAAAAGGUAGUAAAGGGUUGCCAGGAAUUCCUGGAGACAAAGGAGAACGUGGAUAUCCAGGCCAACAGGGGCCACCUGGCCUCCCAGGUUCACCAGGAAUUCCAAGUGUUGGCUCUCCUGGUACUCCUGGUUUUCCCGGUGAGAGAGGACAGAAGGGGGAUCAAGGCCUUCCUGGAAUCCCAAUACCAGGGCCACCUGGAAAUGAUGGACAACCAGGCUCACCUGGCCCCCCUGGUCCCCCUGGCCCCCCUGGAACUACCAUUCCUCCCAUUGACAGACUCUGUGAGCGAGGACCCCCUGGCUUCCCAGGACUCCCAGGAGAACAAGGAUUUAUGGGGGAGAGAGGUCAGAAAGGUGAUAAAGGAGACACCUGUUUUAACUGCAUUGGAAUUGGCACUUCAGGCCCUCCAGGGGAGAAGGGAGUACCAGGUUUACCUGGAAGCCCAGGUUCUCCUGGUUUUCCGGGGCUGAAAGGUGAUAAAGGAGUCCCUGGCCUUGUUGGUACUGUUGGGCCACAAGGUCUUCCCGGCCCUCCUGGCCCUCCUGGACGUCCCGGCACAAAAGGCGAUCCAGGUGAUGUUCUUGCUUUCCCUGGAUUGAAAGGCGAGAAGGGGAACCCUGGCUUCCCAGGCCCUCCAGGUCUGCCUGGGUUAGAUGGAUCUCGUGGACAAGAUGGACUGCCGGGUCUUCCUGGGCCCAAGGGGGAGCCAGGUGGCAUCAGUUUCAAAGGGGACAGGGGACUUCCUGGUGAUCCAGGAAUUCCUGGUAUUCCUGGUGAUCGAGGGCCUCCAGGAUCUCCUGGAUUUGGCCCACAAGGUCCCCCAGGCCAGAAGGGUAUUCAGGGUGUUUCUGGGCGCUCAGGAGCCCCUGGAGGUCCAGGGCCCAAAGGGGAACCUGGACAAACUAUCACAGAAGCAGGAUCUCCAGGUAACCCUGGCCCCCCAGGCAGAGAUGGUGAAGUUGGCCUUCCAGGUGAUCCUGGCCAGCCAGGGGCACCUGGAUUGCCAGGCAUCCCAGGCUCAAAAGGGGAUCCAGGACUACCUGGUAUUGGACUUCCAGGCCCACCAGGACCCAAAGGAUAUCCUGGGUUGCCAGGCCUUCCUGGUGUACCAGGAAACCCUGGAAGAGCAGGUCAAGAUGGACCUCCUGGGCUUCCUGGAUUAGCAGGACAGAAGGGGGACCGUGGUUUUGGUGUUCCAGGACCAGCUGGACCACCUGGGCCACCGGGUUUCAAAGGAGCACAAGGUCCCAAAGGGGAUUCCGGCUUUCCAGGAACCCCUGGCCUUCCAGGACGUAUAGGUUUUGAUGGAACUCCAGGGCCUAAAGGUGACCCGGGGCCACGUGGUCAACCUGGGUUAGCAGGACCUCCGGGGAUUCCAGGGAUUGGUGGCCAAGGCCCACCUGGAGCUCCAGGGCCUCCAGGACCUGUGGGUCCACCAGGAUUACAGGGCAUACCAGGUGAAAAAGGAGAUCCUGGUUCACCAGGAUUUGACAUUCCCGGUCCUCCAGGAGAUAGGGGCAGUCAAGGAUUUCCUGGAUCACCCGGUCUCCCAGGGCCUCCAGGUUCACCUGGGCCACUUGGACGAGAUGGACUUCCAGGAAUUCCAGGUAACAAAGGCGAUAUGGGAGUGAUGGGUGCACCUGGUCCCCAAGGUUCCCCUGGAACCUCAGGCAGGAAUGGCCUUCCUGGCCUGAAAGGCAAUGAUGGAUUACCAGGCCAGCCUGGUCGUCCAGGACCAGCAGGGCAAAAAGGCAGCAAAGGUGAGACAGGCCUGCGUGGACUUCCAGGAACAAUUGAUCCAGCGCAGCUGGGCUCUAAAGGAGAAAAAGGAGAACCAGGAUCUCCUGGUAUUCCCGGUUUAACAGGGCAGAAGGGCUACCCAGGCACCCCAGGUGACGCAGGGACUCCUGGACUAGUUGGACAGCCAGGGAUACCUGGACUACCAGGCCCGAAGGGAGACUCGGGAUUUCCUGGGCCACCAGGACCAACUGGACCUCCUGGACAGAAAGGUGCCAGUGGUGAAAUGGGACUUCCAGGUCCUCCAGGCCAAAAAGGUUUCCAAGGCAUAGCAGGGCGUCCUGGCCAGCCUGGGUCUCCUGGGUUUCCUGGGCUGAAGGGAGACAAGGGUGAUCCAGGCCUAUCAGACAUCGGUAUUCCAGGGCCCCCUGGCCCUAAGGGUGACCCUGGUUUGCCUGGAUAUACAGGUAGUCCUGGCAACAAAGGUUCUCCUGGCAAUCCUGGGCUACCUGGUUUAGCAGGCAGUCCAGGUACAAAAGGUGAUGCCGGCCUCCCUGGAUUCCCAGGUACACCAGGUAUUCCAGGACCAAAAGGUAUUGAUGGACCCCCAGGUAAUCCAGGUGUUCCAGGGUCACCUGGGCCUCCAGGUGACAUUGGCCACCCUGGCCCUCCCGGCCUUGUAGGGGAGAAAGGACAGCCUGGACGAGAUGGCAUUCCUGGACCAGCAGGACAGAAAGGCGAACCAGGUCAACCAGGUUUUGGACGCCCCGGACCUCCUGGACUCCCAGGACUCUCAGGUCAAAAGGGUGACUCAGGUUUACCUGGACCCUCAGGACCUCCAGGAGCCCCUGGUCUGAAGGGAGAAACAGGUGGUCCAGGAUUCCGUGGCCUUCCAGGUUCCCCUGGCUCUCCAGGGCUGCCAGGACCACCUUCAGAAGGGCCUAAGGGAAGCCCUGGGCAACCAGGCAUACCAGGGAGGCCAGGUAAGAAAGAGAAAAUUCAACAAACAUUUUGCUGACACGUUAUUGGUCUGUUGGAACAGUAUACUUGUAUACUGUUCGGCUGAAAUUGCAAUACAUUCACCAGAUGUCUUCUGGGUAUCCUUAAUUUACCAUGAGAGGUUACCUGAAAGUACAAUGGUACCUCUGGUUACAAACACUUCAGGUUACAGACUCCACUAACCCGGAAGUAGUACCUCGGGUUAAGAACUUUACCUCAGGAUGAGAACAGAAAUUGCACGGCGGUGGCAGCGGGAGGCCCCAUUGGCUAAAGUGGUACCUGAGGUUAAGAACGGUUUCAUGUUAAGAAUGGACCUCCAGAACGAAUUAAGUUAGUAACCAGAGGUAGCCAUGUCAAGAGUGAAAACAAACCUGUCUGAUAACCUGUCAGCAAAAUGUUGCCAACUUGAAAUAAGCCUCCGCAUGUCAUCACGGCAAUCAUCCAGCCAAGCACCCAAAUCAACUUUUAAUUGCAUCUGCCAAACAUGCCUGCACCAUGGUGCCACAUGAUAAAACAAAUCCAUCUUGUGCACAACAACAUAAUAAUAUGCACUGCCCGAAAGACCUAUGGAAAUCAAAUCCAUGUUAGCAGCACAGCAUGAUCAGAAUUUAUCAUGGUUUCAUUCAUCUUCACGCCAUGUAUGCUCAUCCAUGCUCCAUCACGUCCCACAACUCCCGACGGAUAUUCAGUGCACCCCCUGUAUCAUCUUCAUCCUUCCAUGCCCUCUUGUCUUGUUUGCUGACCUACCGUGUACUAAUUCUGGAACUGAUAAUUCCCAUUUGAUGGGUGAAUGCCACUGAGCUGAUAUUGGGUGUCCAACAAAAAUUUCCAUAAUGACUGGAACAUUAUUUGGCAAAAGACGGAAAAGCUAAUAUAUCUUCCAUGCUGCUUUCUACAUCCCCAAAAUCUCCAUUAAAACUGACAACAAGUGCAGCUGGCAAACCAUGACCUAGUUGUUGCUGUAGCCAUUAUCCAUGGUUUUCUAAAUGGCAGACAGGUGUGUGUUCUAUUACUUAUUAAUUAAGCAUUAUUGGUUUAUCAUUGGGGGGGGGGGUAUCAUACAUGUAUACCCCCAUCUUUCCUCCCAUGGUAGUGUACAUGGUUCUCCUUCUCCACAUUUUAUCCUCACAACAACCCUGUGAGGUAAACUAGACUGAGAGGCAAUGACUGGUCCAAGCCACCCAGUGAGCUUCAUAGCUGAGUGAGAAUUUGAACCCUGAUCUCCCAAGUCCCUAGUCCAAAACAUCUAUCCACUGUGCCACACUGGCUCUGUUUGACAAUGGUGCCACACAAAAACAGGAUUUAGGUUUAAAUAGAUAGAAUCCGGGACAUUUUUAUAAGCCACUAUGGCUCAAAAAUAUCUGGGCAAAACCAGAUGGAACCUCAGCAAAUGGAAAUGGGCAGAACAGAAUGUGCAACAGUUGGGAGUCAGAUUUGGGUGGGAAUUACAUGUUGUUUGCUAGCAGAAAUUAUUUAUUAAAGAUAUUUUAUCACCUCCCCUUCAUAAGUACAGACACCAAGCCAGGGUACACAGCACAAAAUAAAAGCAGCAGUGGUUGUAAAAUAACAACUAUUAAACAAAUAAAGCAACACAACACAAAUAAAGCUGAAAACAACACAGCAGAUUUAGCAUUAAUCAUCCUGCAAAAGUUAACAUGCCUGGACAAAUAAACAAAUCUUAACUUCAUGCCAGAAUGUGACCAAUCUUUGCAUACAUACAAUAGGGGUAAAUUACCUCUGCCAUUUCCCCACCACACUUCUUUCGGGGGACUUUUGGGACCUCAGCUCAGCUAGUUGAGCCAGGGUGGAGGACUUACGCUGGCAUAUCUCUGGCUGAGCUGGAAACCCCACCGGAGCCCAGGCUCAACUAAAGAUCCACCUAUUUCAAGCUUCACUCAUCCCAGCAGAUCUUGAGUAUUGCUCCCUUACUUCUAAAGGUGGGGGCACUUGGAUAGGAGCCUCAUGAACAGAUAUUCAUUGAUAGGCAAGUUGCUUUGGAUUCAGAAGGAUUUGAUUCACCCUGGUGGAAAAUGUUGUUUUCCUCACCACCACCUCCUUCCCCAAAUGAGCAUACAUAAUCCUGAUUUCCAGUAAAACAUACGAGCCUAAAUUGGUUUCACACUGAGAAGGAGAGAAGGAGACUCUUUAGGUUGUGGCUGAAGGGAAAACUCCAGUAAUGGCUCAGUGGCUUUGAUCCCACCAUCUUGGUUUGUAUUGCAUGUGGACUGUACUGUACAACAUGAAACAUCUAUCUCACUCCACCAUGCAUGUCCCAGUGUGGGUAGACCAAACUGUUAUACUGUUCAAAUCAAUCCACAUUUUAGGACUCCUGAAUGGGCAGGAAUGGUUUAAAUACUGUCUCUGUAACACUGGAGUGAGGGGUUGUUGGCCCUCCAGAUGUUGCUGAACUACAACCAUCAACCCUAGCAAGCAUGGCCAUUGGCGAGGGAUGAUGGGAGUUGUAGUUCAGCAACAUCUGGAAGGUCAAAGGUCCCCCACACUGCUGUAAUAUAUUAUCACAAUGCAGUUGACCAGUGUAAGCAUGUUUCUUGGACAAAUAAUAAUGGAUGCAUUGGAUAUCUAUUGAUCUUCAUUAUAAUUGUAGAUAAUUAGAUGAGUUCUUGCAAUUGAUAGCAUAAUUCAGUAGAGGACUUCCUCCUGUUCUUACAUGGUCUUGCUUUUUGAUGUGAGAAUUCCUAAUAUGCCAUCUCAUCUCAAACUACAAAACUGAACUCUUUUAGUUUAAUCAGUUGUUUUUUAAAAAAAUCUAUGAAUUAUAAUAGUUUGGUCUAUUCAUAAUAUACGAGAAGGAAUUUUAGAUGGAUCUCUGUGAAAAGGUUUAACUUAUUGACAUAUCUAACCAUAUUGAUGUUUCCCCAUUCUAAUGAUGGCCUUGGUGAACUUUUGAUCCCCUGCUUCCAGGUGCCACAGGUUAGCUCAUUAACUCCAGUGUGAUAACUUUGCAUGCCCUUGAAUGUACUUCUUUGAUGAAAACAAAUGUCUCAAUUUGUAGGAUGGGUAUGCCAAGUCAUUAACUUUACAUAACAGUAAUAUAUUUAUUUUUACAUUUUAUAUCCCACCUUUUCUCCAAAGAGUUCAAGGUGGCAUACACACUUCUCCAACUCUCUGCUUUAUCCUCACAACAACCCUGUGAGGUUAGAUAAGGCCAAGAGUCACCCAGUGGGCUUCAUGACUAAGUAGGGAGUCAAACCCAAGUCCUAGUUCAUUGCUCUAACCACUACACUACACUGUCAGUCAGUGCAGGACUCUUAUUGACAAUUCUGCUACCCAUGGAGAUCAUUGUCAGGGCUUGGGCAAAUGUCUUGCAAUGUUGAUUCCAACGCAACAUGUCACUUGAACAUGAGGCUAUAUAACAAUUUCCUGCAGCUUACGAGAACUGGAAGUCUGAUUGAAAGGAUAACAGCAUUAUUUGCUAAACAUUUGCCAACAUCAUAUCCAUUAUAGAACUAACCUGGCACUGAGCUGGUUUGGCAUACCUUGUGUAUGAGAAAUGAGAAAUUUAUUUGGAACAUAUCCAGUACUAUAGAUGCAUAUCAAACUUAAAGCCUUUUGACAAUUAAAGUAUUGUCUUGGUGGAUUGUGUGUGGGUGUCAUCCAGUUUUUGUCAUAUUCUGUGUAGGAAUAAACAAAAAAUUACAAGAACUCGGGCCAGAAAGGAUAAUUUCAAAAAUUCUUCACAAAGUUUUAUUCAGGAUAACUUCCAGUGCAAACAUACUUGGUACACUUAGACCUGAGAAACCCCGCUGAUGAAGAAUCAUCGAAACAGGGCCUUGUCCUGAUGUUGAUGUUCACUGGAAGUUAUCCUGAAUAAAACUUUGUGAAGAAUUUUUGAAAUUAUCCUUUCUGGCCCGAGUUCUUGUAAUUUUUUGUUUACUUCUGAACUUACCAAGAACUCCAAUAUUCUGUGUAGGCCCAUUAACUAAUGUUGGAUAUCACCCCUUUUUUGUAAUUUAUGAUAAGUAUUUUUAUAGAUUUUUACUCCCAGUUUUCCUAUAUACAGUGGUACCUCGACUUACGAAUGACUCGACUUACAAAUGUUUCGACUUACGAACGGAGCUCCGUCCGCCAUCUUGGAUGCGGUUUAGAUAGGAUUUUUUUGACUUACGAAUUUUUACAUAGGGUUGCUUCGACUUACGAAUUUUUUCUCCCAAUGCAUUAAAUUCGUAAGCCGAGGUACCACUGUACACAUUUUCGGAUCAUGGCCUAGCAAACAUCCCCUUUCCAUUUUUUGACUUUGUUAAUUCCAAUGACAUGUUGUCGGCACAAAAACACUGCUCACAUGGGCAGUGUAACCCAAUACCACUCACACAAGGUUGUGUGCUCCUAUUAUUGUGGCUAUUAUUACAAUCAUUAAUCAUUAUUAUUAAUCAUAUUCUAACCCACCAUCUCAAGGCGAUUCACACAUAAGAAAAACUAUUAAAAACACAGAACAACAAAUACAUUUAAAUCAAAACUACGGCAAAUCCCUAACCAGUGGGCACUCAUGAUAAAGACUCAUUUAUCCAGCUUAAGAAAGCCUGUUGAAACAAAAAGGUCUCCAGUUGUUUCUAAAAGGUAGGCGCCUUUUGCUUCUUGACAGGAAUGCUAUUCCACAGAACAGGAGCAGCCACACUAAAAAGCUCUGCUCCAAGUUACUAUAGAGCGGGCUUCUGAGAUCUUUGAAAAUUGCAAGACAAACUCUCCAUUUUUAGACUGGAAGAAUGCAGAUCCACCAUUUGCCAGUUCACCAAAGGCAGCAUAAGGCCACUGCCAGCUGCUUCUUACACUUGGUGAGCAGGGUUCAAAAGCUGGCUUCUGAUAUUUUACCAAAACCAAACUGUUGAUGGUCAGAAUUGAUUCCUCACUUAACUAGUCCACACUGUUUGAAAAGAUAGAAUUUCACCAUCUGGAAUGGUUUUAUGUAUUCUGCAGACUUCACUACCUCAGUGCUCAGCCCUGACUGCAGAUCAUUUACAAAAUUAAUUAAAUCACGCUUGUCUCUCAAUGGAUCCUUAUUGUAUUCUACUGGUUAAUAUAUUCCCUUGUAUAAACUGACUUACUCUGAUCCUCUGCUUUCCUGAUUUUCAACCUGUUACUAUUUCAUGAGGAUUUUGCAGUGAAGCGGGAUGCUAAUAUAAAACAAAAAAGUUAAGACUAUACCUUUUGCUGAUCUGUAGCAAAGUGUGUUUUAUCCCUCUGCACACUACUCCUGGAUAAAUUUCAGGACAGUGCCCAAACCAUUGCUACUAAACAGGUGAUCUCGUUUUAACAUAUUGUAGUUGAACUUAUUUUAUUUUUCUAACCACGCGUACCUUGUUUGUAACAGCCAAAGACUUUGGUCUUAUACACAGUUAUGUAGAAAUAAAUCCCAUGGAACUCAUUAGAAACUUACUUCAGAGUAGACUUGCAAAUGGCUGUGCUGUUUUUCCACAACCACCUUCUCUGCUCUGAUUUCACUGAAUAUUGUUGCUGUUCUGUUCUAAUAUAAUGUUAGUCAGACCUCAUUAAAAUACUUCUAACACUGUUCCAUAGAAUAGGAAUGACUUGGCAUACACCUAAGUAUUAGAUGUGUUUGGAAUAAGUCUUGAAAGUUUUGCUGUGAUGGCUUUUAAAAAGUAAAACAUCUUCACCCCAGCCAAAAAACACUGUUUUAAUUCCAAGCAUUAAAUUAAUAUAGCAACCACCUGUGAUUGAGUAAAUCUACAAUUAGACCUUUUUUAAAAAAAAUAGUUGAGAAGCCAUACUCAGUACUAUAGUGCCCUGGUAGGGCAACAUGAACCAACCAUUGAAAUUGUCCUUAUUUAAAGCCAUAGCAAAACUUCCAUUCUAUUAUAUUCUAAAAUGUUUACAUUAGCCUCAUCUUUUGUUUAAUAUUAAUAUAAUAUGACUGUCAAAGGAUAAACAGAAUGCAAGAAUGAGUGAGAUAAAACUUACAUAUGCAUAUAUGAACUCUGUUUUAUAAUUGAACGUUGCAUGGAGUAUGUAUAUUUUUUUAAUAUUUCACUGACAUGUUCUGUGUUGAGGGCAUAACAGAAGAAAAAGGAAUUUGUAUCAGCAGGAACAACUGGAAAUAAUAAUUUAAAUAUUAAUAGAUGUACACAGUAAAAAGGCCUUUUUGCUAUUAAUAAAUGCUUAUGGGUAGCUCGAUACUGUUCAGCUGUAUUCAGCUAUAAUAACCAUGAAUAUCUUUGAAUAUUAACAAAUACAAAAUAUUACUAAUUAACCAGUCUUCUGCUCAUGAAUGAGAAAUUAUUGGUGCUCAGAUUAUCCAUUUAAUUUUAUAUCAAGCUGUGCAUUACUUUGCUUUCCCCCUCAAAUUCCUAAAUCAUUUUGUUGCCCAAAAGCACUUUGGUAGUCCAAGAAGAGGCUGCUUCCCCUUACGAUGCAAAUGGAAAAAUCACAGGCAAACUUAUUUUAACCAGGUUGCCCCCCAUGCAGCGCUGUCAGUGAAAUGGUCGCAAUAGUACUUGCCUUUGUUUAUGUAGAACUAAUAGAUAGCAAGCCUCGGGCUGCAUUAUUAAAACCAGUAGUACUUCAGCAAAGUUUUAGAUUCAGUGGAUUGCUUCACAUUGGUCAUAGCAGCCUAAUCACCAGAAUAAGUUGUAUAUCUAUAUAUAAAUUAUGCUAAGUUAUACACCCAUAUUUUUAUUUAUGUAAUACUGACCUGGGGGGCAUUCUCCUUGUAUGCAUGUUUGCUGUGUUGUAAAUACAAAAUAUGCUGGUGAAAUGGUUUGCACUGUUUAGUAUCAAUAUCUCUUCUGUACUACUUCUAACUAAUAAUCUUAUUUUGCACUGUGUGGUGUCUGAUAUCCCCCCCUAACAUCGAUCAUUGGGCUUUGGUGAACUCUGACCCUUCCAGGUCCUCCAGGUCUUCCUGGUUCAGAAGGCCCCCGUGGACCCCCCGGGACUGGAGGAGUAAGAGGAGAAAAGGGAAACCCUGGCCAGCCAGGUCAGCCCGGAGUGCCUGGUUUGAAAGGAG